GGAAUCCGAAUACUCACAAGAAGGACAAAACCAGUAUGAAAAUUAACACAAAGAAAUUGUGCAAGAAAAGUUUGAAGUAUCUAUGGGAAUGAUCUGACAACAACGAACUUGUUGAUCCUUCCUUCUUAAAGUGACAUGACCAGAUAUUUGGCUACCCAGUUUGAGUAUCUUUCUGCUAAAUGAAAUAAAAUAUUUUGGAGGAACACGGAGAAAAGGGCACUUCAACAAGUUCAAG